AACGAACGCUGGCGGCAUGCCUAACACAUGCAAGUCGAACGAGACCUUCGGGUCUAGUGGCGCACGGGUGCGUAACGCGUGGGAACCUGCCCUUAGGUUCGGAAUAACUCCCCGAAAGGGGUGCUAAUACCGGAUAAUGUCUUCGGACCAAAGAUUUAUCGCCUUUGGAUGGGCCCGCGUUGGAUUAGCUAGUUGGUAGGGUAAAAGCCUACCAAGGCGACGAUCCAUAGCUGGUCUGAGAGGAUGAUCAGCCACACUGGGACUGAGACACGGCCCAGACUCCUACGGGAGGCAGCAGUGGGGAGUAUUGUACAAGGGGCGAAAGCCUGAUCCAGCAAUGCCGCGUGAGUGAUGAAGGCCUUAGGGUUGUAAAGCUCUUUUACCCGGGAUGAUAAUGACAGUACCGGGAGAAUAAGCUCCGGCUAACUCCGUG
rnacentral:rRNA from 1 species